rnacentral:rRNA from 1 species
UGAAUACGAGACGCUAAGGCGUCGAAGUAGUGUAUGUCAUACUUCCAAGAAAAGCUUGCACUGUCAUAGAUAAAAAACGCCUGUACCAUAACCGACACAGGUGGGUAGGUAGAGUAUACUAAGGGGCGCGAGAUAACUCUCUCUAAGGAACUCGGCAAAAUAACUCCGUAACUUCGGGAGAAGGAGUGCCUUAUUCGUAAGGUUGCAAUAACAAGAUCCAAGCAACUGUUUAUCAAAAACACAGGUCUCCGCUAAGUCGUAAGACGAUGUAUGGGGGCUGACGCCUGCCCAGUGCCAGAAGGUUAAAGAAGUUGGUUAGCAAUUGCGAAGCUGAUAACUGAAGCCCUGGUGAACGGCGGCCGUAACUAUAACGGUCCUAAGGUAGCGAAAUUCCUUGUCGGGUAAGUUCCGACCCGCACGAAAGGCGUAAUGAUUUGGAUACUGUCUCGGAGAGGGGCUCGGUGAAAUAGACUUGUCUGUGAAGAUGCGGACUACCUGCACCAGGACAGAAAGACCCUAUGAAGCUUUACUGUAACUUGAAAUUGAAAUUGGACUUUAUUCGCGCAGUAUAGGUGGGAGGCGUUGAUUAUAAUCUUGUGGGAUUAUUGGAGCCAUCAGUGAGAUACCACUCUUGUAAUGUUAGAUUUCUAACUUUGAAUCAUUAUCUGGUCAAAGAACAGUUUCAGGCGGGCAGUUUGACUGGGGCGGUCGCCUCCUCAACGGUAACGGAGGCGUACAAAGGUUUCCUCUGAACGGUUAGAAAUCGUAUCUAGAGUGUAAAGGCAUAAGGAAGCUUGACUGUGAGACCUACAAGUCGAGCAGGGACGAAAGUCGGUCUUAGUGAUCUGACGGUACUGAGUGGAAAGGCCGUCACUCAACGGAUAAAAGUUACUCUAGGAUAACAGGCUGAUCUCCCCCAAGAGCUCACAUCGACGGGGAGGUUUGGCACCUCGAUGUCGGCUCAUCGCAUCCUGGGGCGGUAGUACGUCCCAAGGGUUGGGCUGUUCGCCCAUGAAAGCGGUACGCGAGCUGGGUUCAGAACGUCGUGAGACAGUUCGGUCCAUAUCCGGUGUAGGCGUUAGAAUAUUGAGAGGAGCCUUCUUUAGUACGAGAGGACCGAGAAGGACAUACCUCUGGUGUACCAGUUAUCGUGCCAACGGUAAACGCUGGGUAGCUACGUAUGGAGUGGAUAACCGCUGAAAGCAUCUAAGUGGGAAGCCCACCUCAAGAUAAGUAUUCUCAUC